rnacentral:rRNA from 2 species
CGUGGUAUCCUGUCUGAAUAUGGGGGGACCAUCCUCCAAGGCUAAAUACUCCUGACUGACCGAUAGUGAACCAGUACCGUGAGGGAAAGGCGAAAAGAACCCCGGCGAGGGGAGUGAAAAAGAACCUGAAACCGUGUACGUACAAGCAGUGGGAGCACCUUCGGGUGUGACUGCGUACCUUUUGUAUAAUGGGUCAGCGACUUAUAUUCUGUAGCAAGGUUAACCGUAUAGGGGAGCCGCAGGGAAACCGAGUCUUAACUGGGCGUUAAGUUGCAGGGUAUAGACCCGAAACCCGGUGAUCUAGCCAUGGGCAGGUUGAAGGUUGGGUAACACUAACUGGAGGACCGAACCGACUAAUGUUGAAAAAUUAGCGGAUGACUUGUGGCUGGGGGUGAAAGGCCAAUCAAACCGGGAGAUAGCUGGUUCUCCCCGAAAGCU